GUGGGGGAUAUUGCACAAUGGGGGAAACCCUGAUGCAGCGACGCCGCGUGAAGGAAGACGUACUUCGGUAUGUAAACUUCUAUCAGCAGGGAAGAAGAUGACGGUACCUGACUAAGAAGCCCCGGCUAACUACGUGCCAGCAGCCGCGGUAAUACGUAGGGGGCAAGCGUUAUCCGGAUUUACUGGGUGUAAAGGGAGCGUAGACGGUGAAGCAAGUCUGAUGUGAAAACCCGGGGCUCAACUCCGGGAUUGCAUUGGAAACUGUUUUACUUGAGUGCUGGAGGGGCAAGCGGAAUUCCUGGUGUAGCGGUAAAAUGCGUAGAUAUCAGGAAGAACACCGGUGGCGAAGGCGGCUUGCUGGACAGUAACUGACGUUGAGGCUCGAAAGCGUGGGGAGCAAACAGGAUUAGAAACCCCUGUAGUCC
rnacentral:rRNA from 1 species